UUUUUGGAGAGUUUGAUCUUGGCUCAGGACGAACGCUGGCGGCGUGCCUAAUACAUGCAAGUCGAGCGCGGGAAGCAGAAAGAUUCCUUCGGGAUGACAUCUGUGGAACGAGCGGCGGAUGGGUGAGUAACACGUGGGCAACCUGCCUGUAAGACUGGGAUAACUCCGGGAAACCGGGGCUAAUACCGGAUAAGACUUUAUCUCGCAUGAGAUAGAGAUGAAAGAUGGCUUUUAGCUAUCACUUACAGAUGGGCCUGCGGCGCAUUAGCUAGUUGGUGGGGUAAUGGCCUACCAAAGCGACGAUGCGUAGCCGACCUGAGAGGGUGAUCGGCCACACUGGGACUGAGACACGGCCCAGACUCCUACGGGAGGCAGCAGUAGGGAAUCUUCCGCA
rnacentral:rRNA from 1 species